UGGGGAAUUUUGGACAAUGGGCGCAAGCCUGAUCCAGCAAUGCCGCGUGUGUGAAGAAGGCCUUCGGGUUGUAAAGCACUUUUGUCCGGAAAGAAAACCUCGUGGUUAAUACCCGUGGGGGAUGACGGUACCGGAAGAAUAAGCACCGGCUAACUACGUGCCAGCAGCCGCGGUAAUACGUAGGGUGCAAGCGUUAAUCGGAAUUACUGGGCGUAAAGCGUGCGCAGGCGGUUCGCUAAGACAGAUGUGAAAUCCCCGGGCUUAACCUGGGAACUGCAUUUGUGACUGGCGGGCUAGAGUAUGGCAGAGGGGGGUAGAAUUCCACGUGUAGCAGUGAAAUGCGUAGGGAUGUGGAAGAAUACCGAUGGCGAAGGCAGCCCCCUGGGCCAAUACUGACGCUCAUGCACGAAAGCGUGGGGAGCAAACAGG
rnacentral:rRNA from 1 species